UCAUCUGCUUGCUCUGAGGGAUUACAAGGAGCCAGAGUUACUUGCUUGGCUGCAGAGAGAUGGAGUCAGGCCAAAGGACAAAGACUCCCUUGGAAAGAUCCUUCAGCAGGUAGCCAACCUGAAUGCAAAGGAGAAUUCCUUCAGUCUGAAGGAACAUCUAUUUCAAACCCUUCAGACUGAUUGGCCUGGCUACAGUAAAAUUGAGAGAGAGAAUUUGAAAUUAAUACUUUCUAGGUAAGUUUAGUCUUUUGGGGAAGGAAAAGAGCCUUUUCAGAAAAAAAAGCCCUGGGAAAUGAAGCCUAGAUUCUUAGAAUAUGCUGCAGAGGCAGCAGAGGCCCAUCAGGGUCAUGGAAUCCAACUCCUGGCCCUGCACAGACACCACGAGAAUCACACCCUGUGCCCAAGAGAGUUGUCCAAAUCCUUCUUGAGCCUUUGCUGCAGUGACCACUGGCCUGGGGAGCCUGUUGCAGUGCUCAAGCACCCUCUGGGCCAUGAAUGUUUUCCUGAUGUCCUGCCUAAAGCCCCCUCAACUUUACUUCAUGUUUUUCCCUUGAGUCCUGACACUGAAGGUCUGUUUUCCCUGCAAGGAAAGAACUAUGACAGUUGAUAUUUAGGCUUUGUAACAUGAACGCUUGGACCAUCCAUACAGAAAAUCAGCUCCAUCUCAGAACACCACCAGCAGCAGCCAAGCAACGUCUCCAAGGCCUUCUGAGAGAGAUGCUCCAGCAAGACCUGCUCAGGUAUUUUGUGCAUUUUUAAUAUUCUGCAUUGUACAGUAAAUUUUAGCAGACUUGCUGGUGAUGUAGAAGCUGUGAUGGGAAUAUGCAGGAUCAGGCCUGGGCAUGUUUUGCCACACACUGCUGUGACCUCAAGGUUGUGAUAAGAAGAGAGGAUCCAGCAAGGGUGGAGCAGCAUUGUCCUGAUCCAACUUUCUGCUCUGCCUGGAGACUUGAGCUCAGCCCCCACCCUCAACUCAAUCCUUGGAGAAGGGCUCAAAGGCCUGGCUCUGCCUGUGUGACAGAACUGCAUGAAAAAUCUCCUGUGCAUAAGAGGCUGCACCAGGCUGGGGCAGAUGGGGCCCUCUUGCUCUCUUCUCCCUCUGUCUCUCUGUCACUCUCAUUGUUGACCCCAGCUCUGCACUAUCCACAUGGCUGGACAAAACACAGCACCUACAGAAUGGUGCUAUUCCCUCACUCCCUCCUCUGCCUUAAUUUCUCUCCUCCCUCCCUCUGCCUGGGCACAGCACGGCUGUCCUGUUCUACUCCAUCCCCGGCCCUGAGGUUUGCUGUGCCUGUGGGGAGCUUGUGGCCGUGUGUUGUGGCUCGUGAGGCAGCACCUUUGAGAAGCUCCUUGGGAGGAGCUGAGAGAUGACUGAAGGGCUCUGAGCAACAGCAAGGGCUCGUUGGUAACCACUUGUGAAACUCUCUUGUAGAAGUUUAAAGGCUUGUUAGCCAACAGCUUUUGAGUCUGCGGAGUGGGUGAGCCUGCUGGAUUUAAGACAGCUGUACCUAAAUGCACAAGAGUUUCUGGACAUGUGACUGGUGUCUGUGUUCAUCCUGAUGAGAAUUCACAACCAACCAUCCCAUCCUGUACUCAUGGGUUGUAAUAGUGAAGCAUUAAUCUUGUUUUUAACACAUAAAACUCCAAAACAGCCAGGUUCCUCUGUAAUAAAUUGUGUGGGUGUUUGAUAGCAAAAGCUGAGUCUUUUCCUGGUGUGUGCAAGCAGUAAUUGGGACCUAGACAAAACUUACCUGGCAUCCCCAUUUUGGGGAGGCUUGAGCUGCUGAAGGGAGUGUCUACUUCCCAAAGCCUUUUAGCAGCAGACUUGGAGAAGGACUUGCUAAGUGCUAAGAUGAGAAAGUAGGAAUGCAGCAGAGCAGAUAUUUACCUGCAGGUCUUCCAGGUCUGACAGUUAUUUUUAAUUAAAAAUGGUGCAUUUUAAAACUUUGCCAAUUUACAGAUGCUGCUUUUUUAGAAUUGAGAGCAAAACCUGAUUGUGAUCAUAGAAGAAUGAAUUAUUUUCCUGUUGUUGCAGAAACGGCCUCAGGCUUCUGGCUUUGUCAGUUCUGUGAGGAGCAAGAAGCAGAGAACUGAGCAGUAGCCCAGUUACAUCCAGGCAGCAGCUGGUGGCCGCUCUUCUUCCUGGGUGCUGGCUUCCCAUUCUACAGGGAUGUCAAAGCCAGCACCCUGCCUCCAAGUCUGGGCUCCAUUCCCCUGCACCCUUUAAGUUAAAAAAAAGACAAAUAUUGGAGUUCUAGAAUGCCAGCACUUGUGUAGAGGACUGCCUUAUCCAAAAAGAUGUGAAGAGAACUGGGGAGGCUGAAGCAGUAGUGUCCCUUGGAUUUCAAUGAAGGGUAGCCCCAGCUACUCUGAGAUGAAGAGCAGGUGCCAGUAGCUCCACAAAAAGCUGUCCCACAUUCAGCAAUGAGUAUCUGAAUUUGGCAAGCAGCAAGUCCUGGAGUCCUGGCACCAGUCUUCUGCUUCAGCAAAGGAACAUCUAUGAGCUCCAGCUGUUUUAUUUUAAAAGAUUAGCUUUUUAGGUUUCUUCAAGUUAGUAAUAAGGAGAUGAUUAUUUGUUUAAAAUGUAGGAUUAGAUAGUCUAAGAUUAGAGAAUUUAGUCUUGAACUUUAGCAAUAAAGAAGUUGCAUUAUUGUUAA